rnacentral:rRNA from 1 species
GAUGAACGCUAGCGGCAGGCCUAAUACAUGCAAGUCGAACGGUGUCUUCGGACAUAGUGGCGCACGGGUGCGUAACACGUAUGCAACCUACCUUACAUUGGGGGAUAGCCUUUCGAAAGGGAGAUUAAUACCGCGUAAGACAGUAGCUGGGCAUCCAGCAGCUGUUAAAGAUUUAUCGAUGUAAGCUGGGCAUGCGUCCAAUUAGCUAGUUGGUGAGGUAACGGCUCACCAAGGCAAUGAUUGGUAGGGGAACUGAGAGGUCAAUCCCCCACACUGGCACUGAGAUACGGGCCAGACUCCUACGGGAGGCAGCAGUAGGGAAUAUUGGGAAAGGGACGCAAGUCUGACCCAGCCAUGCCGCGUGCAGGAUGAAGGCGUUAUGCGUUGUAAACUGCUUUUAUACAGGAAGAAACGACUCUUGCGAGAGGCAUUGACGGUACUGUAUGAAUAAGCACCGGCUAACUCCGUGCCAGCCGCCGCCGUAACAC